AUCGCUUCUUGGCCUUUUGGCUAAGAUCAAGUGUAGGAAAAAACUAGCUAGGCAAAAACUACCUUUUUUUUUAAAAAAAAGAUUCUUUAUCAUACCUGGUCAGUAGCUGAACAUGAUCAGCAAGGUGAAAUUGCU
ensembl:snRNA U2 U2 spliceosomal RNA